GGGCGGGGUCCUUAACACAUGCAAGUCGAACGAACCUUCGGGUUUAGUGGCGGACGGGUGAGUACUCAGAAUCUGCCCUCAGGAGUGGGGACAACAGCUGGAAACGGCUGCUAAUACCCCAUAUGCCGCGAGGUGAAAUGAAUUUUGCCUGAUCGAUGAGCUCGCGUCUGAUUAGCUAGUUGGUGUAGUAAUGGCUCACCAAGGCAUCGAUCAGUAGCUGGUCUGAGAGGAUGAUCAGCCACACUGGGACUGAGACACGGCCAGACUCCUACGGGAGGCAGCAGUGGGGAAUUUUCCGCAAUGGGCGAAAGCCUGACGGAGCAACGCCGCGUGAGGGAUGAAGGCCUCUGGGCUGUAAACCUCUUUUAUCAAAGGAAGAAGAUCUGACGGUACUUGAUGAAUAAGCCACGGCUAAUUCCGUGCCAGCAGCCGCGGUAAUACGGGAGUGGCAAGCGUUAUCCGGAAUUAUUGGGCGUAAAGCGUCCGCAGGCGGCCUUCAAAGUCUGCUGUUAAAAAGUGGAGCUUAACUCCAUCAUGGCAGUGGAAAACUGUUUGGGGCUUUGAGUGUGGUAGGGGCAGAGGGAAUUCCCG
rnacentral:rRNA from 1 species